GGCGCACUUUGCCUGGAUCGGUGCCGCCAUACAGGAGAGAUGAACUGUUUCACUUCGCCUCUCCUAGAUGGCGGAACCGAUCCAGGCAAAGUGCGCC
rnacentral:pre_miRNA from 1 species